rnacentral:ncRNA from 1 species
GUAAAGAAAGGCGAUGGAGUUCGCCUUAAAAUGCCCACCUUGGCUGAUGACUCCUGCAUAAAA